AGGGUUUGAUCAUGGCUCAGAACGUACGCUGGCGGCACGCCUAAUACAUGCAAGUCGAACGAAGUAGCAAUACUUAGUGGCAGACGGGUGAGUAACAUGUAGGUAUCUGCCCUUUGGCCUGGAAUAACACGAGGAAACUUGUGCUAAUACCGGAUAAGUCUUUACGGAGAAAGCUUUAUGCACCAUUGGAUGAGCCUGCACUUGAUUAGUUUGUUGGUGGGGUAAUGGCCUACCAAGACAAUGAUCAAUAGCUGAUUUGAGAGGAUGAUCAGCCACAUUGGGACUGAGACACGGCCCAAACUCCUACGGGAGGCAGCAGUAGGGAAUCUUGCACAAUGGAGGAAACUCUGAUGCAGCGAUGCCGCGUGAGUGAAGAAGGCCUUUGGGUUGUAAAGCUCUUUCGUCGGGGAAGAAAAUGACUGUACCCGAAUAAGAAGGUCCGGCUAACUUCGUGCCAGCAGCCGCGGUAAUACGAAGGGACCUAGCGUAGUUCGGAAUUACUGGGCUUAAAGAGUUCGUAGGUGGUUAAAAAAGUUGGUGGUGAAAUCCCAGAGCUUAACUCUGGAACUGCCAUCAAAACUUUUUAGCUAGAGUAUGAUAGAGGAAAGCAGAAUUUCUAGUGUAGAGGUGAAAUUCGUAGAUAUUAGAAAGAAUACCGAUUGCGAAGGCAGCUUUCUGGAUCAUUACUG
rnacentral:rRNA from 1 species